UCUAAUUACAACUGUAUAGAUUAUAUUUAAAAAAAUUACUUACCAUAUUGUGCUAGAGCAUAAAAAGAAAAAAGGAAAUUCAGAAUUUUCUUUACGUAGGUAUUAUUAAUACGAGUACGUAUCAUUAUUUUGGCUUUAUUUCCCAUAGGCGCAUUAGGGGGAUAUCUCGUGUCGACCUGUGUAGGACCCAUAAUACUCAUUUUAGUACUUAUGGUACGACAAGUAUUAAGUAAAAA